rnacentral:rRNA from 1 species
GCUUAUCACCAUUCCAGAUUGAAUAUACCCGAUCUCGUCUGAUCUCGGAAGUCAAGCAAUCUCGGGCUUGGUGAGUACUUGGAUGGGUGACGAAUU